ACUCAUCAUCAUCUUCAUCCCCAGCAGCUGAGUUGAAAGCAUUCAACCUCUCAAUCAACUUCUCCUUCCUCUCAUCAUAAGUAAGCUUCUUCAGAUUGAAUCUCUUGUGCUCCUUCACCUCCUUCUUCUCAGUCAGCUUCACGGUUGGAUCGGCACGAAUGGCGGCAUGAACCUUCUUGUACAUCUCCUCAAUCCCUUCAGCCUCAACGCCCUUCUUGAUGUACGCACUGAAAUGGGUCUGAAAUUUCUCAGGCUCAUCCUCACUCAAAAUCCCCAUGUAAGCAGCAACAUGCCCGCCAUAGAUGUACUUCCUGUGGACAUCAGAAUCAAGCUG
rnacentral:lncRNA from 1 species